rnacentral:rRNA from 1 species
UACGGGGGGGCAAGCGUUGUUCGGAAUUACUGGGCGUAAAGGGCUCGUAGGCGGCCAACUAAGUCGGAUGUGAAAUCCCCAGGCUCAACCUGGGAACUGCAUCCGAUACUGGAUGGCUUGAAUUCGGGAGAGGGAUGCAGAAUUCCAGGUGUAGCGGUGAAAUGCGUAGAUAUCUGGAGGAAUACCGGAUGGCGAAGGCGGCAUCCUGGACCGACGAUGACGCUGACUGAGCGAAAGCUAGGGAGCAACGG